AAAAACUUAGGUUAACUAAACCAAGAGCCUUCAAAGCUCUAAAUAAGGAUAUAUAUUUUCUUAGUUUUUG
rnacentral:tRNA from 1 species